rnacentral:rRNA from 1 species
UACGGAGGGUGCAAGCGUUAUCCGGAUUCACUGGGUUUAAAGGGUGCGUAGGUGGGCAGGUAAGUCAGUGGUGAAAUCUCCGGGCUUAACUCGGAAACUGCCAUUGAUACUAUCUGUCUUGAAUACCGUGGAGGUUAGCGGAAUAUGUCAUGUAGCGGUGAAAUGCUUAGAUAUGACAUAGAACACCAAUUGCGAAGGCAGCUCACUACACAAUUAUUGACGCUGAGGCACGAAAGCGUGGGGAUCAAACAGG